rnacentral:sRNA from 1 species
ACUCAACUUUGGUCCGCGAUGAUCGCUCUGGGUGGCCGACGUGGCUGCACGGGAUAAAGGUUCGUAGUGGCAGCUGGACAGGAGCAGGAUCAUGAAGGACGAGCGUCUCUCGGUACAGAAGUCUCGUCAUGAUAGUUUCGGCGAACUGCGGGUUCAUCUGGCGAGCAACUUUCAGCGCGGCUUCGCAUUUAUCCUGGAAGGCUUUAAGACCUAAUCGAGGUAUUCCAUGCCGUGAGUUUUCAUGACGCAAGCGAUGUCGAACAUGUCGCGGGGCUGCAUCGCGGCGCCGCGGUGUAAACCUUCU